AGACAGCGCUAUCGCGCUUCCUCAGCCCGAACGGCAUCGAAGUAACGACUGGAUAAACACUCUUCUUAACGUUACUUAAG
rnacentral:ncRNA from 1 species